GCGCGCCAGAGAGGGUGAGAGCCCCGUAAGCGAAAUCCAAAGAAGGCCUAUCAGUAUCCUGAGUAGGGCGGGACACGUGAAAUCCCGUUUGAAUCCGCGAGGACCAUCUCGCAAGGCUAAAUACUAACCAGUGACCGAUAGUGAACCAGUACCGUGAGGGAAAGGUGAAAAGAACCCCGGGAGGGGAGUGAAAGAGAACCUGAAACCGUGUGCCUACAAGUAGUCAGAGCCCGUUAACGGGUAAUGGCGUGCCUUUUGUAGAAUGAACCGGCGAGUUGCGUUAGUCAGCAAGGUUAAGUCAGAAAAGACGGAGCCGUAGCGAAAGCGAGUCUGAAGAGGGCGAGCAGUUGGCUGACGCAGACCCGAAACCAAGUGACCUACCCAUGACCAGGUUGAAGGCGCGGUAAAACGCGCUGGAGGACCGAACCCACGUAAGUUGAAAAUUGCGGGGAUGAGUUGUGGGUAGCGGUGAAAUUCCAAACGAACUUGGAGAUAGCUGGUUCUCUCCGAAAUAGCUUUAGGGCUAGCCUCGCAAAGAGGAUGCUGGAGGUAGAGCUCUGUUUGGACUAGGGGCCCGUCAAGGGUUACUGAAUUCAGAUAAACUGCGAAUUCCAGACAUUUAUGUGCGGGAGUCAGACUGCGAGUGAUAAGAUCCGUAGUCGAAAGGGAAACAGCCCAGAUCACCAGUUAAGGUCCCAAAAUUCAUGCUAAGUGGAAAAGGAUGUGGAGUUGCGCAGACAACUAGGACGUUGGCUCAGAAGCAGCCAUCAUUCAAAGAGUGCGUAAUAGCUCACUAGUCGAGUGACGCCGCGCCGAAAAUUUACCGGGGCUAAGCAUGAUACCGAAACUGUGGAUGUGCAUUUAUGCACGUGGUAGGAGAGCGUUCUAGCGGCGGUGAAGCAUGACCGAGAGGACAUGUGGAGCUUCUAGAAGUGAGAAUGCCGGUAUGAGUAACGAAAGACAGGUGAGAAUCCUGUCCGCCGCAAGACUAAGGUUUCCUGGGGCAGGCUCGUCCGCCCAGGGUAAGUCGGGACCUAAGGCGAGGCCGAGAGGCGUAGUCGAUGGACAACAGGUUGAAAUUCCUGUACUGCACCGAAUCGUUAUGAGCGAUGGAGGGACGCAGGAGGCUAGCAGCGCGUGGUGCUGGAUACCACGUUCAAGCGUCAAGUCUGAGAGCGAGUCAAAUGCUUGCUCUCAUAAGGACAAGGCGUGAUGAGGAGCGAAAUUAAAGUAGCGAAGGCUGCGACGUCACACUGCCGAGAAAAGCUUCUAGCCAGAGACGGUGCACCCGUACCGCAAACCGACACAGGUAGUCGAGGAGAGUAUCCUCAGGUGAGCGAGAGAACUCUCGUUAAGGAACUCGGCAAAAUGGCCCCGUAACUUCGGGAGAAGGGGCGCUGGUCGCAAGAUCAGCCGCAGUGAAAAGGCCCAAGCAACUGUUUAUCAAAAACACAGGCAUCUGCAAAAUCGUAAGAUGAAGUAUAGGUGCUGACACCUGCCCGGUGCUGGAAGGUUAAGAGGAGAGCUUAGCGCAAGCGAAGGUUUGAAUUGAAGCCCCAGUAAACGGCGGCCGUAACUAUAACGGUCCUAAGGUAGCGAAAUUCCUUGUCGGGUAAGUUCCGACCUGCACGAAAGGUGUAAUGAUUUGGGCACUGUCUCAACGAGAGACUCGGUGAAAUUAUAAUACCCGUGAAGAUGCGGGUUACCCGCGACAGGACGGAAAGACCCCAUGGAGCUUUACUGCAGUUUAAUAUUGGGUAUCUGUCAAGCAUGUACAGGAUAGGUAGGAGCCGGAGAAGAUAGGACGCCAGUCUUAUCUGAGGCGCUGUUGGGAUACUACCCUUGCUUGACGGAUGCUCUAACUCAGGCCUGUGAUCCAGGCCGAGGACAGUGUUUGACGGGCAGUUUGACUGGGGCGGUCGCCUCCUAAAGUGUAACGGAGGCGCCCAAAGGUUCCCUCAGAAUGGUUGGAAAUCAUUCGCAGAGUGUAAAGGUAAAAGGGAGCUUGACUGCGAGAGAGACAACUCGAGCAGGUACGAAAGUAGGGCUUAGUGAUCUGGUGGUACCGCAUGGAAGGGCCAUCACUCAACGGAUAAAAGCUACCCUGGGGAUAACAGGCUUAUCUCCCCCAAGAGUUCACAUCGACGGGGAGGUUUGGCACCUCGAUGUCGGCUCGUCGCAUCCUGGGGCUGAAGUCGGUCCCAAGGGUUGGGCUGUUCGCCCAUUAAAGCGGCACGCGAGCUGGGUUCAGAACGUCGUGAGACAGUUCGGUCCCUAUCCGUCGUGGGCGUAGGAAAUUUGAGAGGAGCUGUCCUUAGUACGAGAGGACCGGGAUGGACGCACCGCUGGUGUACCAGUUGUCUUGCCAAAGGCAUCGCUGGGUAGCUAUGUGCGGACGGGAUAAGCGCUGAAAGCAUCUAAGUGCGAAGCCCCCCUCAAGAUGAGAUUUCCCAUUUCUUCAAGAAAGUAAGACACCUCAGAGACGAUGAGGUAGAUAGGCCGGGAGUGGAAGAGCCGUGAGGCUUGGAGCGGACCGGUACUAAUCAGUCGAGGACUUGACCAAAA
rnacentral:rRNA from 1 species